GUUUUUUUAGUUUAAAUAGAACAUUUGACUUGCACUCAAAAAGAAAGGAUACUUAAAAAACA
rnacentral:tRNA from 1 species